CAAUCGCAAUCUUACAUGCUUUUGCCUCUCACCGUCAAGAAACGACAACGUUUUUCGAGACCGAUCUGCUUGGACAUACUUAUACGACGAGACGAAAAACAGCUAUAUCAACUCGAUUCUGACUUGAAAACAAGAGAGCUAUCUGUAUUUGAUCUUUGCACGUGUCAUUAUUUUCGAAAAGAUUUUUCAAAUAUUACACGUCGAAAAAACGCAACUGCUACAAAUUGAAUCAUCAUACGCUUUCAUACGCAUAAAAAUGAAUCUUAAAACAUGGUUGUUACUUGUCCUUCUUACCGUAUUUUUACCGGUCAUUCUCAACAUAUUAAUACAUAAAACAGUAGCAGAAAGGCUGCUAUAUACGCCUGCACCUAAACCUAAACCAGAUAUUUGCUAUUUGGAACUGGAUAAGGGUCCUUGUAAUAUCUUAGAACAGAGAUCGUGGCAUAACCCAAAAACAGGAAACUGCGAAUAUUUUGCAUAUGGAGGUUGUAAAGGAAAUAAGAAUAAUUUUAUCAGUAUAGAGGAAUGUAUAUAUAAUUGUGAACCUGACUAUAAUGAGCCUAUAGCACUUGAAUAGUAUUAUAUAUUUUUUUUACAUAAAAUAAUAUUAAUCUUUAUAUAAAAAUAUCAAAUCAAAGCCUCUAUGAAGAUAGUUGUGCAAAUAUAAAAUCGGGCACUCUCAAAUGUGAAGAAAUAAGAAGAGUAGUUCUCACAAUUUAAUUUUUUUCAUACUGUUCUGGACAUAAUAUUAUUUAUUAUCAGUUAACAAUAUCACAAUAUAUAAU